rnacentral:rRNA from 1 species
CUACGGGGGGCUGCAGUGGGGAAUAUUGGACAAUGGGGGAAACCCUGAUCCAGCAAUGCCGCGUGUGUGAAGAAGGCCUGCAGGUUGUAAAGCACUUUCGGUUGGGAGGACUGCUUCUAGCACUAAUAUUGUUGGAAGUUGACGUUACCUUCAGAAGAAGCACCGGCUAACUCCGUGCCAGCAGCCGCGGUAAUACGGAGGGUGCAAGCGUUCAUCGGAAUUACUGGGCGUAAAGCGCGCGUAGGCGGCUAGAUCAGUCGGGUGUGAAAGCCCCGGGCUUAACCUGGGAACUGCAUCCGAUACUGUCUAGCUUGAGUACAGGAGAGGAGAGUGGAAUUCCACAUGUAGCGGUGAAAUGCGUAGAUAUGUGGAGGAACACCAAUGGCGAAGGCAGCUCUCUGGCCUGAUACUGACGCUGAGGUGCGAAAGCGUGGGGAGCAAACAGGAUUAGAUACCCUCGUAGUC